AUGAAGAAGAAGAUGUGCCUCCGCAGGAUGAAGUUGAUGAACAGACGAUUGUACCAACCUGACGGAGACACACAGGCUUCAACCGCUUCCUGCAUCUUCCUGAAGACAGAAAACUCGGCCCUUUCAGUGUGAAUACAGCUCUCCAGCUCCAGCGAGCAGUUCUGCGUGUCCAGAGGGAAGCUACUGAAGUCCAUCGAGCAGAGAGCCGUCACAGUGACCCUAAAACACACACACAAACACACACAAAAUACAGCUUUCAUAACAGUUACACCUGCAGACUUCAUCCAUUGUGUCCUGGAUAGACCUUUCUUGCUGUUGCCAUGGAAACCUGAACAUAACCGUCCUCUCCUCUCUCUCUCUCUCUCUGUCUUAUUUUCUCAAUUUAUUCAGUUUCAGUUACUGUUUAUAAGUCUUACAUGUGAAUUAUAUUUUUGUUUUUGUUAUUAAGCUUUGGCUCAAUGCUUGGUGAGUGUUGACAGUUAAUUAUGGGUGUUUUAAACCUGUAGUUUGUUUGCUCUGGUCUGAAUCUUGGUUCCGUUUCUUUUUCAAGCGAACAAAAAAGCAUCACUACAAGCCAGAUGAGAACGUUCUCUCCUCUCAUUGGUCAGAUGUGUCCGAGGUGGGAGUGAGAACGUAAAAACGCACAUGAAAACUGAUCCUGAAGACGCUUCAAACUGCACAAAUAUCAAGAGGGCAACAUUCUUUAUUGUUAGUUCAGGUUGGAUCUUGAUUCAUUCUCCAGAUACAAAACACACGAGUACACCUUGUACUCGGUCAGAUGGAGAUCGGAUCAUGUUCCCACCACAAAUAAACCGCUCCGGAAUUUGUUUGCGACCGUACAGAGACCAC